rnacentral:rRNA from 1 species
GAGUUUGAUCAUGGCUCAGGAUGAACGCUGGCGGCGUGCCUAAUACAUGCAAGUCGAACGAGGUUUUAACAAUUGAUCAAUGUGCUUGCACGGCGAGAUUUUGUUAACACCGAGUGGCGGACGGGUGAGUAACACGUGGGUAACCUGCCCUUAAGUGGGGGAUAACAUUUGGAAACAGAUGCUAAUACCGCAUAAACCCAAGGAUCACAUGAUCCUUGGUUGAAAGAUGGCGUAAGCUAUCGCUUUUGGAUGGACCCGCGGCGUAUUAGCUAGUUGGUAAGGUAACGGCUUACCAAGGCGAUGAUACGUAGCCGAACUGAGAGGUUGAUCGGCCACAAUGGGACUGAGACACGGCCCAUACUCCUACGGGAGGCAGCAGUAGGGAAUCUUCCACAAUGGACGCAAGUCUGAUGGAGCAACGCCGCGUGAGUGAAGAAGGCUUUAGGGUCGUAAAACUCUGUUGUUGGAGAAGAACACGUUUG